AGCAGUUGAUCAAGCCAUUUGAACUGAGUUCUUCCAUUGCUCGAUCGGGUUUCCUCGCCUUUCUUGGAAACGCACAUUACGAGGGGUACCGAAGGAAUAUGUUCUGGAAGGCUGUUGCUGAGCUCUAGCGAAGGAUCUGCAGUGCCACCUUGUUGCAUAAGACGGGGAGAUGUUAUGUAAGUCAGUCAGCUUCCGAGCACAUCAACCACGGCACUCCUAGCCCCCACACAAAGUGCUAAUGGGACUGAAACCACAACUCACUUGGAAAUGAAGAGGUGGCUGAAGGUAUAAAUAUGGCAUGAAACUGAUAGGACCAUGGCUGGUGUUUCACCAAAGCUGAGAGCACUUUUCCCCACAAGGACAGUCUCACACACAUUCUUUGAAUAUGAGAAAAGUGUUACACUCUAAAAGACCAGCAC